UCCACCUACAUCCACACCUCCACCUGCAUCCACCUCUGCUCCUGGUUCCACCUCCAUCACUCUUCUUCCAUCACUCUCUCCUCCUGUUCUCUCUGUGUUGUCAUGUGUUGGAUCAGUCUGUGUUGUGGUUCUACUGGUGUUACUGGUUCUACUGAUGAGACGAUGUGUUCACAGGAAACCUGAAGCAGAUCAAGAAGAAACUGGAGAAGAUGACAUCAUCACUCAUGUCAUGUACAGUUUCAUCAAAUCAUCAACAACAGCCAGUCAGACAAAGCAGAGGAAGUGAAGCCAGAGAGCAAAAGGAUCUCAAUCCCCUGCUUAAGAUCCAGUAAAACAUCUCCAGUCCUCUAAAGUUUCUCUUCUUUGGCUUUUAGAUGCAUCCUUGAUCCGAAUGAUUAUCUCACUUGUUAUAAGUUUGCCAAAACUGAUGGCAUGCUAAAAAAGGGGGACUCAACUAUUUGAAUCAGCUGUGUAGGAGUAGUGAUGCAUCUAAAAAGUAAAAACAACCAGUUGGGGAAACAUGUGACUUUUGCUUAUGUUGAAUUUUAGCUCAUUUUUUACUAUGUAAAAAGGUACAACAUGAUGGCUGCUAAGAUGUUUGAUUUAUUUUUAAAUGGACAUUUAUGCAGCGUGGCACCGAGGGCACAUUUAAAUAUGUAGUUUAAUUAUACGUUUGUUUCCUUUGAGUAUAAUUUGAUAAGUCAGAUGUAACCGUGUCUGUUUAUCUCUGUACUUACUGAGUGUUGUUCACUGUGAGCUGGACUGUGUGUUUGUGGUCUGUGGUUAACUGAAGCUAACAGCUCUGCAGUCAUCCAGCAUCCUGUUUCUGAUAGAAAGAAAACACUUCAGCUGCAGGUGUUUCAACACAGAGCUGUUUAUUUUAAAAUCAGGAAGGAACAUCAUUUGGAAAAGCAUCUAAACUCUGCACACAGGCCAUCAGUUCAUUUAAAGAGAAAAUUAUAUUGAGAAAUUAUUUUAAUAUUAUUCACAAUUUUUUCUUUAAAUUCACCUUUUUUAAAUUUAACUGAAAUUAAAAUUUAAAACUCUAUCUCUGUGUCUCUACUGAGAUCCUGAAUCUAUAAAGUUUAUAUAUUUAUAAGUUUAUACUUUCUGUGACAUCCUGACAUGUGGUGUAACUGCAGUCUGAAGCUGAUGAGACGUCUCACUGCAGUGUGUGCUGGUUUGUCUAAUAAUAGUGUUCAUGCUGUGAGAACAUGUUUGCUUUCUGCUCUGUGGUGAAGUGUUAAAAAGCAGAAGGCAGCUUUGUGGUCGUCUGACUUCUUUAUCACAGAAACACCUCCAAGUUCUUUGUGGUCACUCUGAGUUUCACAGCAGAGAUGUGAAGAUGAGAAAAUUUUGAAAAGCUGCUGUAGUUUAUUAAAAUAAUCUCUUCAUGAAGGUAACAAUAAAACAUAAAUAAAUCAGCCUUUUUACAGCCAUAUUGCUAAGCUGAUGAAAAGUUUGACUUGAUCCUGUUUGGUUGAGGCUAACUGAUACACUCCUCUCUUCACUGCAGGAAACAACAAACAUUAAACCACAGAAACAGCAGCAGCAUCAUUUAGUGUUGGAGACAGAAGAGUUUCUGUCUUUGUCCUCUAAAUUACCCAGAAACCAACUGACAAUUUAUUUUUUAAUUUUGUUAAA